GAUCAUUACUGAGAGGUCUAAAAAACCACUAGUUGGGGGUCUCUUCCCCUCUAGUAGUUCCUCACAGUUUUGUGCAAAGUCGGGUCAACUUGGUUGGCUCUGCCUUGUGCUGUAGAUCUGGUUGUUGGCAUAGAGACCCUCCUUUUAGGAGACUUGUGCCACUACUAAGAUCUAGGCUGCUUGAAAAGAGACGUAUGGACCCUUCUUUCAGGAGACCUAUGUCUCGAGUCAAAGCAAGCAAGGCAAGCCUUUGGGGCUCUAGUAUUAACUAUCCCCAAAGGUGUUUAUUCUUCUCGUGUAAACCAUGAUGUACGAAAAAGUUAGUUGUUAACUUAAAAACAACUCUUGGCAAUGGAUCUCUUGGUUCUCGCAUCGAUGAAGAGCGUAGCAAAGUGCGAUAAUUAUUGCGACUUGCAUUCAUAGCGAAUCAUCGAGUUCUCGAACGCAUCUUGCGCCUAGUAGUCAAUCUACUAGGCACAGUUGUUUCAGUAUCUGCAACUACCAAUCAGUUCAACUUGGUUCUUUGAACCUAAGCGAGCUGGAAAUGGGCUUGUGUUGAUGGCAUUCAGUUGCUGUCAUGGCCUUAAAUACAUUUAGUCCUAGGCAAUUGGCUUUAGUCAUUUGCCGGAUGUAGACUCUAGAGUGCCUGAGGAGCAACGACU
rnacentral:misc_RNA from 1 species